rnacentral:rRNA from 1 species
GCCUACGGGAGGCAGCAGUGAGGAAUAUUGGUCAAUGGGCGGUAGCCUGAACCAGCCAAGUAGCGUGAAGGAAGAAGGCUUUCGGGUUGUAAACUUCUUUUAUGAGGGACGAAAGAAAUGACGGUACCUCAUGAAUAAGCCACGGCUAACUACGUGCCAGCAGCCGCGGUAAUACGUAGGUGGCAAGCGUUAUCCGGAUUUACUGGGUGUAAAGGGCGUGUAGGCGGGACUGCAAGUCAGAUGUGAAAAUUAUGGGCUCAACCCAUAACCUGCAUUUGAAACUGUAGUUCUUGAGUGAUGGAGAG